CCUAAUACAUGCAAGUCGAACGAACUCUGGUAUUGAUUGGUGCUUGCAUCAUGAUCUUACAUUUGAGUGAGUGGCGAACUGGUGAGUAACACGUGGGAAACCUGCCCAGAAGCGGGGGAUAACACCUGGAAACAGAUGCUAAUACCGCAUAACAACUUGGACCGCAUGGUCCGAGUUUGAAAGAUGGCUUCGGCUAUCACUUUUGGAUGGUCCCGCGGCGUAUUAGCUAGAUGGUGGGGUAACGGCUCACCAUGGCAAUGAUACGUAGCCGACCUGAGAGGGUAAUCGGCCACAUUGGGACUGAGACACGGCCCAAACUCCUACGGGAGGCAGCAGUAGGGAAUCUUCCACAAUGGACGAAAGUCUGAUGGAGCAACGCCGCGUGAGUGAAGAAGGGUUUCGGCUCGUAAAACUCUGUUGUUAAAGAAGAACAUAUCUGAGAGUAACUGUUCAGGUAUUGACGGUAUUUAACCAGAAAGCCACGGCUAACUACGUGCCAGCAGCCGCGGUAAUACGUAGGUGGCAAGCGUUGUCCGGAUUUAUUGGGCGUAAAGCGAGCGCAGGCGGUUUUUUAAGUCUGAUGUGAAAGCCUUCGGCUCAACCGAAGAAGUGCAUCGGAAACUGGGAAACUUGAGUGCAGAAGAGGACAGUGGAACUCCAUGUGUAGCGGUGAAAUGCGUAGAUAUAUGGAAGAACACCAGUGGCGAAGGCGGCUGUCUGGUCUGUAACUGACGCUGAGGCUCGAAAGUAUGGGUAGCAAACAGGAUUAGAUACCCUGGUAGUCCAUACCGUAAACGAUGAAUGCUAAGUGUUGGAGGGUUUCCGCCCUUCAGUGCUGCAGCUAACGCAUUAAGCAUUCCGCCUGGGGAGUACGGCCGCAAGGCUGAAACUCAAAGGAAUUGACGGGGGCCCGCACAAGCGGUGGAGCAUGUGGUUUAAUUCGAAGCUACGCGAAGAACCUUACCAGGUCUUGACAUACUAUGCAAAUCUAAGAGAUUAGACGUUCCCUUCGGGGACAUGGAUACAGGUGGUGCAUGGUUGUCGUCAGCUCGUGUCGUGAGAUGUUGGGUUAAGUCCCGCAACGAGCGCAACCCUUAUUAUCAGUUGCCAGCAUUAAGUUGGGCACUCUGGUGAGACUGCCGGUGACAAACCGGAGGAAGGUGGGGAUGACGUCAAAUCAUCAUGCCCCUUAUGACCUGGGCUACACACGUGCUACAAUGGAUGGUACAACGAGUUGCGAACUCGCGAGAGUAAGCUAAUCUCUUAAAGCCAUUCUCAGUUCGGAUUGUAGGCUGCAACUCGCCUACAUGAAGUCGGAAUCGCUAGUAAUCGCGGAUCAGCAUGCCGCGGUGAAUACGUUCCCGGGCCUUGUACACACCGCCCGUCACACCAUGAGAGUUUGUAACACCCAAAGUCGGUGGGGUAACCUUUUAGGAACCAGCCGCC
rnacentral:rRNA from 1 species